rnacentral:rRNA from 1 species
GAUGCCUUGGCACUAGAAGCCGAUGAAGGACGUUACUAACGACGAUAUGCUUUGGGGAGCUGUAAGUAAGCUUUGAUCCAGAGAUUUCCGAAUGGGGAAACCCAGCAUGAGUUAUGUCAUGUUAUCGAUAUGUGAAUACAUAGCAUAUCAGAAGGCACACCCGGAGAACUGAAACAUCUUAGUACCCGGAGGAAGAGAAAGAAAAUUCGAUUCCCUUAGUAGCGGCGAGCGAAACGGGAAGAGCCCAAACCAACAAGCUUGCUUGUUGGGGUUGUAGGACACUCUAUACGGAGUUACAAAGGACGACAUUAGACGAAUCAUCUGGAAAGAUGAAUCAAAGAAGGUAAUAAUCCUGUAGUCGAAAAUGUUGUCUCUCUUGAGUGGAUCCUGAGUACGACGGAGCACGUGAAAUUCCGUCGGAAUCUGGGAGGACCAUCUCCUAAGGCUAAAUACUCUCUAGUGACCGAUAGUGAACCAGUACCGUGAGGGAAAGGUGAAAAGCACCCCGGAAGGGGAGUGAAAUAGAACCUGAAACCGUGUGCUUACAAGUAGUCAGAGCCCGUUAAUGGGUGAUGGCGUGCCUUUUGUAGAAUGAACCGGCGAGUUACGAUUUGAUGCAAGGUUAAGCAGUAAAUGUGGAGCCGUAGCGAAAGCGAGUCUGAAUAGGGCGUUUAGUAUUUGGUCGUAGACCCGAAACCAGGUGAUCUACCCUUGGUCAGGUUGAAGUUCAGGUAACACUGAAUGGAGGACCGAACCGACUUACGUUGAAAAGUGAGCGGAUGAACUGAGGGUAGCGGAGAAAUUCCAAUCGAACCUGGAGAUAGCUGGUUCUCUCCGAAAUAGCUUUAGGGCUAGCCUCAAGUGAUGAUUAUUGGAGGUAGAGCACUGUUUGGACGAGGGGCCCCUCUCGGGUUACCGAAUUCAGACAAACUCCGAAUGCCAAUUAAUUUAACUUGGGAGUCAGAACAUGGGUGAUAAGGUCCGUGUUCGAAAGGGAAACAGCCCAGACCACCAGCUAAGGUCCCAAAAUAUAUGUUAAGUGGAAAAGGAUGUGGCGUUGCCCAGACAACUAGGAUGUUGGCUUAGAAGCAGCCAUCAUUUAAAGAGUGCGUAAUAGCUCACUAGUCGAGUGACACUGCGCCGAAAAUGUACCGGGGCUAAACAUAUUACCGAAGCUGUGGAUUGUCCUUUGGACAAUGGUAGGAGAGCGUUCUAAGGGCGUUGAAGCAUGAUCGUAAGGACAUGUGGAGCGCUUAGAAGUGAGAAUGCCGGUGUGAGUAGCGAAAGACGGGUGAGAAUCCCGUCCACCGAUUGACUAAGGUUUCCAGAGGAAGGCUCGUCCGCUCUGGGUUAGUCGGGUCCUAAGCUGAGGCCGACAGGCGUAGGCGAUGGAUAACAGGUUGAUAUUCCUGUACCACCUAUAAUCGUUUUAAUCGAUGGGGGGACGCAGUAGGAUAGGCGAAGCGUGCGAUUGGAUUGCACGUCUAAGCAGUAAGGCUGAGUAUUAGGCAAAUCCGGUACUCGUUAAGGCUGAGCUGUGAUGGGGAGAAGACAUUGUGUCUUCGAGUCGUUGAUUUCACACUGCCGAGAAAAGCCUCUAGAUAGAAAAUAGGUGCCCGUACCGCAAACCGACACAGGUAGUCAAGAUGAGAAUUCUAAGGUGAGCGAGCGAACUCUCGUUAAGGAACUCGGCAAAAUGACCCCGUAACUUCGGGAGAAGGGGUGCUCUUUAGGGUUAACGCCCAGAAGAGCCGCAGUGAAUAGGCCCAAGCGACUGUUUAUCAAAAACACAGGUCUCUGCUAAACCGUAAGGUGAUGUAUAGGGGCUGACGCCUGCCCGGUGCUGGAAGGUUAAGAGGAGUGGUUAGCUUCUGCGAAGCUACGAAUCGAAGCCCCAGUAAACGGCGGCCGUAACUAUAACGGUCCUAAGGUAGCGAAAUUCCUUGUCGGGUAAGUUCCGACCCGCACGAAAGGCGUAACGAUUUGGGCACUGUCUCAACGAGAGACUCGGUGAAAUCAUAGUACCUGUGAAGAUGCAGGUUACCCGCGACAGGACGGAAAGACCCCGUGGAGCUUUACUGUAGCCUGAUAUUGAAAUUCGGCACAGCUUGUACAGGAUAGGUAGGAGCCUUUGAAACGUGAGCGCUAGCUUACGUGGAGGCGCUGGUGGGAUACUACCCUAGCUGUGUUGGCUUUCUAACCCGCACCACUUAUCGUGGUGGGAGACAGUGUCAGGCGGGCAGUUUGACUGGGGCGGUCGCCUCCUAAAAGGUAACGGAGGCGCUCAAAGGUUCCCUCAGAAUGGUUGGAAAUCAUUCAUAGAGUGUAAAGGCAUAAGGGAGCUUGACUGCGAGACCUACAAGUCGAGCAGGGUCGAAAGACGGACUUAGUGAUCCGGUGGUUCCGCAUGGAAGGGCCAUCGCUCAACGGAUAAAAGCUACCCCGGGGAUAACAGGCUUAUCUCCCCCAAGAGUUCACAUCGACGGGGAGGUUUGGCACCUCGAUGUCGGCUCAUCGCAUCCUGGGGCUGUAGUCGGUCCCAAGGGUUGGGCUGUUCGCCCAUUAAAGCGGUACGCGAGCUGGGUUCAGAACGUCGUGAGACAGUUCGGUCCCUAUCCGUCGUGGGCGUAGGAAAUUUGAGAGGAGCUGUCCUUAGUACGAGAGGACCGGGAUGGACAUACCUCUGGUGUACCAGUUGUCGUGCCAACGGCAUAGCUGGGUAGCUAUGUGUGGACGGGAUAAGUGCUGAAAGCAUCUAAGCAUGAAGCCCCCCUCAAGAUGAGAUUUCCCAACUUCGGUUAUAAGAUCCCUCAAAGAUGAUGAGGUUAAUAGGUUCGAGGUGGAAGCAUGGUGACAUGUGGAGCUGACGAAUACUAAUCGAUCGAAGACUUAAUCAA